rnacentral:rRNA from 3 species
UACAGAGGUCCCGAGCGUUGUUCGGAUUCACUGGGCGUAAAGGGUGCGUAGGUGGCAUGGUAAGUUUGAUGUGAAAGCUCAGGGCUCAACCCUGAAAUGGCAUUGAAUACUACUGUGCUGGAGGUUUGGAGGGGGGACUGGAAUUCUCGGUGUAGCAGUGAAAUGCGUAGAUAUCGAGAGGAACACCAGUGGCGAAGGCGAGUCCCUGGACAACACCUGACACUGAGGCACGAAAGCUAGGGGAGCAAACAGG